UUUUCACUUGAAGACAUUUUGAACUUUUUCUUAUAGGGUUUCUCUGCUGGGCUGUUUGCAUUCUACCAUGAUAAAGAUGGAAAUCCUCUCACUUCAAGAUUUGCAGAUGGCCUCCCACCUUUUAAUUAUAGUCUGGGAUUAUAUCAAUGGAGUGAUAAAGUAGUUCGAAAAGUGGAGAGAUUAUGGGAUGUUCGAGAUAAUAAGAUAGUUCGUCACACUGUGUAUCUCCUGGUAACGCCUCGUGUUGUUGAGGAAGCACGAAAACAUUUUGAUUGUCCAGUUCUAGAGGGAAUGGAACUUGAAAAUCAAGGUGGUAUGGGCACUGAGCUCAACCAUUGGGAAAAAAGGUUAUUAGAGAAUGAAGCGAUGACUGGUUCUCACACUCAGAAUCGAGUACUCUCGCGAAUCACUCUGGCAUUAAUGGAGGACACCGGGAGACAGAUGCUGAGCCCUUACUGUGACACGCUCAGAAGUAACCCACUGCAGCUAACUUGCAGACAGGACCAGAGAGCAGUUGCCGUGUGUAAUUUGCAGAAGUUCCCUAAGCCUUUACCACAGGAAUACCAG
rnacentral:sRNA from 1 species